GACGAACGCGGCGGCGUGCUUAACACAUGCAAGUCGAACGGAGCGAAUGAAAGCUUGCUUUUAUGAGCUUAGUGGCAAACGGGUGAGUAACACGUAGACAACCUGCCGACAGGAUGGGGACAACAUUCCGAAAGGAAUGCUAAUACCGAAUGAAGCGGAGGAGAGGCAUCUCUCCUCCGUGAAAGAUGGCCUCUAUUUAUAAGCUAUCACCUGUCGAUGGGUCUGCGUCUGAUUAGCUAGUUGGUGAGGUAACGGCUCACCAAGGCGACGAUCAGUAGCCGGUCUGAGAGGAUGAACGGCCACAUUGGGACUGAGACACGGCCCAGACUCCUACGGGAGGCAGCAGUGGGGAAUCUUCCGCAAUGGGCGCAAGCCUGACGGAGCAACGCCGCGUGAGUGAAGAAGGUCUUCGGAUGUAAAGCUCUGUUGACGGGGACGAACGUGCGAAGGGUGAAUAAUCCUUUGC
rnacentral:rRNA from 1 species